rnacentral:tRNA from 1 species
GCCCGGGUGGCGAAAACAGGUAAACGCGCUGUCUUGAGGAGGCAGUGGAUUUCAUCCAUGCGGGUUCAAGUCUCGCCUCGGGCA